rnacentral:rRNA from 1 species
UACAGAGGGGGCAAGCGUUGUUCGGAAUUACUGGGCGUAAAGGGCGCGUAGGCGGCCGCCUAAGUCAGACGUGAAAUCCCUCGGCUCAACCGGGGAACUGCGUCUGAUACUGGGUGGCUUGAAUUCGGGAGAGGGAUGCGGAAUUCCAGGUGUAGCGGUGAAAUGCGUAGAUAUCUGGAGGAACACCGGUGGCGAAGGCGACGUCCUGGACCGGCAUUGACGCUGAGGCGCGAAAGCCAGGGGAGCAAACGGG